UACAGAGGUCUCAAGCGUUGUUCGGAUUCAUUGGGCGUAAAGGGUGUGUAGGUGGCGCGCUAAGUCGGGUGUGAAAUUUCGGAGCUUAACUCCGAAACUGCAUUCGAUACUGGCGUGCUUGAGGACUGGAGAGGAGACUGGAAUUCAUGGUGUAGCAGUGAAAUGCGUAGAGAUCGGGAGGAACAUCUGUGGCGAAGGCGACUGCCUGGACCAGCACUGACACUGAGGCACGAAAGCGUGGGGAGCAAACAGG
rnacentral:rRNA from 1 species